rnacentral:lncRNA from 1 species
CCCAAAUGGAAAAUUGCUGUUUGAUAAACAAAUUAUCUCCUCGUAGGCUAAAUCUCCUCUGAAUUGCUGUGAUUCCUGCAUUGCAGGGAGUUGGGCUGGAUAACCCUUCAUGUCCCCUCCUGAUUCCGGAGUUCCACGAGUCAAUGCUUCGAUUCCUUACAGAUGCACGUAGCCCUCUUCACCGUAUUACUGUUGGACGGAAGGUUUAAUCACUGCCUUCUCCAAGACUGUGCAACCCGUGUGUGUGUUUUUUCAAUUAUGGUCAUUUUAUCGCCCCUGUACCAGGUAUGUUAUUUUCAGCGGGGAUUGAUCUGGAGAUACGAACAAGCCCACAAAAUGAGUUUCCUUGAUUUAUUCAAGGGCCAUCCGUUCCAUCGCGAGUAGCUUAUUAAAGAGCCCUGCACAGCCUGUAUCUCUGUAGUAUAUUAUGAGUGAUUUAUGAAGGUGCUUUAACUUGUCGACAGCCACUUCCAAAGUGGUCCUUUCUCUACACACACACACACACACACACACACACACACAGGCUGCAAAUUUCUUUUAAAUGGCUACACUUAGCCCCUAGCUAUUACACUUUGGGGGCAGUUAAGCACCCCUGAAUUGAAUAGGAAGUGAGAUAGGAGCAGCUGAGAUUGCUGCUCUUCAGGCUGUCCCUGGUGAAUGACUGCCUAGCCUCAGGGCCCAAGACCUCUGCUCACGGCCAAGCCAGGCUAAUGACCUGCAGCCAAACAUUUGAAUUUCACUGGCUGACUUGGCUCUGGUCUUGGUGUCUUUGCCCCCUGCCCCCCCCCCCCGCUUCCAUCUUACCCCUAGACUAUGAGGCCAUCUGUCCCCCUGCAAACACACACACACACACACACACACACACACCCCCCCCAGUGGUUGAAUGGUCAUCUGUCAGGGAUUCUUGAAGUAUGAUUCCUGCAUUGCAGGGGGUUGGACUAGAUGACUCUUGGGGUCUCUUCCAACUCUGCAGUUCUAUAAUUCUAUGCUUCAUUGCAAGAUUUUAAGCAGAGGUCAGAUGGUCAUCUGUCAGGGAUCAUUUUCCUGUGAUUCCUGCAUUACAGAGAGUUGGACCAGAUGACCCUCAGGUUUCCCCUUCAACUCUACAGUUUGAUUGUUCCGUUUCACAGCACUGCAUUCCACGAUCUAAUGAAUUUGUCCUGAAAUGCCCUGUAAAUAGCAUCUAUUGAUAGCCGUUCCCUGGGCAAAUGUCAUGCCCAUCUAGACGUUUAUCAGCUUAGGAGGGACCAUCUAAUUAACUCACUGGCACAUGCUAAUUGUAGAUAAUCAACUUAUAUUUACCUGGGCCUGCCAUGUGAUUUAAGUUGAUCCAGAGUGCAAAGGCGGGAAGCAUUUUAGGAAACUUUUUGCUAGGGGGAGACAGGGGGGAAAUCAUAACAUUUUCUAGAGAAAUGGUGAUUUGCAACUCUCCAUCCCAGAAUAGGUGGAUCUGCCAAGGGUUCUUAUUCCUCCAAUCCUAAAAAAUCAGUUUUCCAUAUUUCUACAUCACCUUGCCAUUUCAUUAGAAUGGAUUUCACCUAUUGUAAUAGCCUUCAGAUAUAAUAACAAGGUAAAGAUGUCACUCCUUAGUCCCCAUUGGAGGAGUUAUUUAUUUAAUUUGUUUAUAAAACAUAUUUAUACAUACUUCUAAAUCAUAAGAAUAAAUGAAAGCAGUUUACAACAUCAAAAAGAUAAAACCAUAAAAUAAAAGCAUAAAAAGUUAAAAGCAAUUUAAAAGCAAAACGGUUAAAAACAAGCAACAGCAAACCAUUGUGGAAGGACAUCUUCUUAAUUGCCGGCGUAGACCUUGGCAGAAUAGAAAAGUUUUCAGCAGGAUGAAACAGAAGGCGUUGUCAAAUGAGUCUUCCCAAUUCAAAGAAUGACCAAUGACAUUCUUGUGGAUGAUCUCAGUGAUUAAGCUGGAAUAGAAGGGUUCAGGUUAUCCCCUCUCAGCCAUGAAGCUCACUGGCCAAUCAGAAAAGGCCAAUCGGUGCCUCUCAGCCUAACCUACCUCAAAGGGUUCCUAUUUUAGGGAUUAAACAAGGCACUGAUCUGGGGUGGGGGUGGGGAGUAGGGAGUUGGGAUAUAAAUGCAGUGCAGGGCAGGGCAAUAAAAUAAAUAAAAUAAAAGAAGGAAUCCUUUCCCCAGCUCCAGGCAUUGAUCAGAGUGGGGCUGGCCUUUUGCAUGUGUUUCAAAUGAAACUCUCCACUUUAGGGGAGCUUGCUGAUCGCCUAGAUGCAAUUGGCAAUUAAAUACACAUUUUUAGGUUUGUUGUGGGGUGUGUGUUUGGGGGGGGUAAGCUUUCUGAUUUUUCUGCUAACAUCUUGUGUUCCUUUUUCACAUUGCUGAAUAAUAUUCAUUCUUGGCUGUGUGUGCUUCUGAACUUCUUUUCCUGCAGGGCAGGGGAUUGGACUUGGUCACCCUUUGUGUCCCUUCCAGCUCUACAAUUCAGUGAGUCUAUGAAUGGAGCCAUUGCGCAGUGUUCGUAGUGUUUCAUCUUAUGCAAACUAUGCAUCUUAUGCAAACUUUUGAAAGACUGGCUGGAGGGAGGCUCUAUUCAUGUGUCUUACACACACACACCACAAAUCUGCCCUUUUAUUCAUUUUUGUGAGAUAGGGGGAGGAGAAGAAACCCUGAUGGUAAAUCCAUUUUUGCAAAGCUGCUGCCUACACAGGAAAUGACCUCUUAAUGCCGUGCACCUGUUUUGCUCAGAGUAAUAUCCUGGGAGAGACUUGACUGCAUAGAGACAGCAGCCAGAUCUGCAGUUGCCAGUCAGCCUCAACAGCACUUUCAGGUUUCCUCAAACCUUUCCCCGCCCCCGCCCCCAUCUUUUUGAAAGUCACAUAGACUCUGCUCAAGCUUAACUGAAGUUAGUUUAAUUCUAGCCCAUUUAUUACCCCUUUUAGAUGAGACUAGGUAGAUGAGACUAGCUAUCUAUUUCCCUGCCUACCUAUCUAGCUAUCAUCUACCUUACAUUGUUUAACUCUGUACUGCCUGAAGAACAUUCAGUGAAGCUGGGCAUCCAAUGAAGCUGAGUAUUUUAAAGAAAGUCCUUCUUCAUGCAGCACAGAUAUGAACUGUGGAACUCCCUCCCACAGGAGGCCGUGAUGGCCACCAACUAGGGUGGCUUUAAAAGAGGAUUGGACUAUUGAUGACUACCAUCCACGAUGUCUGUGCUCUUCCUCUACAGUUGGAGGCAGUGCCAGCAAUGCUUCUGGAUGCCAGUUGCUGGAGGGGGAAAUGUUGUUGAUGUGCUUGAAUCCUGCUUGCUGGUUUCCCACAGGCAUCUGGGUGGUCACUGUGAGAACAGGAUGCUGUGCUAGAUGGGCCAUUUGCUUGAUCCAGCAGCCUCUUCUAAUGCACUGAUGUUCUUAAGACAUACUUCCUUUUAUCUGUCUUGAUAAAAGGUUUCUCAAGUUGCACAUAACCACAGAAGGACCCCUCCUCCUCCUCCUCCUCCUCCUCCUCCUCCUCUUCUCCUUGGCUCUGAGCAAAUUUCCCCUGGAUCUUGCACUACUAUGAAACUUGAUCUGGUGCACCACUAAUUCAAAGGCUGUCUGUUUGAGAUAUUCUCUGACAAACAGUUUCAGUGAGCCAGCAAUAUUGUGCUAGUACAUCAAAAAUGCAAACAUUUAGGUUUAAGCCUGCGUUGAAUGGAUUUGAGAAUGAGUUAUGAGAGGCGUUAGGAGAGUUAUUGGCUUGGCAAUCUCCCCCUCCCCCUGCCUGCUUGGAACCUGCUUUUCAAAAUUAAAUACGAUCCCGGGUGAUCCAUCCAAAAUGUCAAUUACCCUAAAUCUCUUAGGUUUGCAAUUACAAAUUGCAGGCCGUGUUUGGGAUUUUCUGAAGCUGCUUUUUUUUUAAGGGGGUGGGAGCAAGAGCUGUCUCUCCUCUGAUUGCAAAAAAACCCAAAAACCCACACCAAAAAAAACAACAACCCCUUUCAAAUUGUAGUGUCAAACAGAGGUAAAGUCAUCCAGAAUGGGCUUCUUGGCCAAGUCCUGGCUGGAAGUGAUUACAGGGCUGGAAACCAAGCAGAGCUUAGCAGGAUGCCGGAGAUGGGUUCUGAUUAUGAGAAAGGAGCUUCCAACUAAACCUUAGGAACAGUGGCAUGCAGUCAGUGGACUAGGGGGACUAGAUUAGUCCCCUAAAUGUUCCUGCUAAAUUAGAGUAUUAAAGCCUGGCACCUCCUUCCCAAAGCCCUGGAAGCAUCUGCCCAGCUUAGGGAGGGAGGCACAAUGUUGCUCCCCCCCCAUCACCCUCACAAGCUGGUGCCUCUGACCCUAACUUGUUCCCCUAUGAAAAGUUUCACUGCAUGCCACUGCUUAGGAAGGAAUUUCUGGUGGUAAGAGUUGCUUGAUAGUUAGACAUACUCCCUGUGAAACUGGUGGAUUUUCCUUGUUUGGAUGUCUUUGAACACAGGUCGAAUGUACACCUGCCAGGAAUACUUUAGUCAUGAUUCCUGCAUUACAGGAGGUUGGACUACAUAACCCUUAGUGACCUUUCCAACUCUACAGUUCUAUGAUUCAUAGGAGGUUUUCAAACAGAGGUUGAUGGCCGUCUAUUCUGCGAUGCCUGCCCUGUGGGGAGUUGGACUAGAUUAUCCUUGAGUGUUCCUUCCAUCUGUACAGUUCUAUGAUUCUUUGUCCUGUGUGCCAUCCUGCAGAGCAGAGAAGGCACCUUGCAAGUUUCAUAGUCUAUGGGGAGUGCACAGUUGUUCUCCCGUCUCCCUCUGAACUGCAUCUCCUCUCCGGCGGCUCAGCUUGUCUGCUCUGCAGAUAACUGACAUCGACCUCAGCUCACGCUGACUCUCACGUUACACUAAGCACAUCAAAGAUGAGAUAAUGGCUGGGGAUGUGUCUGUGAAACCCUCUUAGAAAAUAUGAGUUGUGGAAUGUCCAAAUAGUCUCUGCUUUCUCUCUCUGACUCUUCCUACACUUCACUUUUGCACUCAAAAGGAGAGGGAGGAGGGAGGAGGAGGAAGGGCAGAAGAGGAGGAAAGCUACCUUUGGGGCAACAGCAGAUGAUUGAUAAGUACCGGUAUAUCCCCUGAGUGUAGCUGGGAGGCACAGCUGAAUCUUAGAAUCAUAGAGAGUUGGGAGGGAUCCCCAUCUAGUCCAGUCCCCUGCAAUGCAAGAAUCAAGGCUAAAUAAUCCCAGACAGGUGACCAUCUGACCUCUGCCUAAAAACCUCCACGGAAAGAGAUUUCACCACCUCCUGAGAGAGUCCAUGUCACUGUCAAACAGCUCUUAGAGUCAGAAAGUUCUUCCUAAGCUUUAGUCGGCAUUGCCUUUCUUGUCAUUUAAAUCCACUGGUUCGGAUCCUACAGCAGCAAAAAGGAAGCUUGCUCCAUUUUACUUGUGACAGCCUUUAGAUGUUUGAAGUUGACUAUUACCACCUCUCAGUGUCCUCUUCUCCAGACUAAACAUGCCCAGUUCCCUAAAUCGUUCCUCACAAGGCUCAGUUUCUAGCGCCCUUCGUAAUCUUGAUCACCUUCCUCUGCACACCUUCCAGCUUGUCAAUAUCCUUCUUAAGCUGGGAUCCCCAUAACUGGAUACAAGGCUCCAGCUGUGGUAUGACCAAGGGUUCACAAUUCAAUGCAUGCCCUAUAAUACUAUUGGUAAAUGCCUGAAACUCAGCAUCCAGAGAAUGAUUGCCCACUUUGAUAAAAAUCAAAAAUGGCAGGUACCAGUGGACUCUCACAGAGGUGUUCAGACAGGGAGGUGGGUGGGUGGCCAGCUGAUGGGCAUUCGUGGGCUCAGGGUGAUCUAUUGGUAGUGACCUGCCAAGCAGUGAGACCUGCAUUGGCUCAGUGUUAUAAACUAAUACCUGACUGGGCCAGGGAGGUGAUUGCAAGAGGCGGUGGUCCCUGCCUGCUUGAAGGAGGCCAUGGUAAAACCACUCCUCCAGAAACCCUCACUGGAUUAGAAAAAUCUAAGUAAUUACCAGCCAGUUGCCAAUCACCUCUUCUUGGGAAAAGUAUCUGAGUGGUGGGUUGCAGACCAGAUCCAGGUGCUCUUGGAGGAAACUGAUUUUCUAGAUCCAUUUCAGUUGUGGUUUAGGCCUGAUUUUGGCACAGAAACCACUCUGGUCACCCUGUAUAAUGACUUCUGUCAGGAUAGAGACAGGGGAAAUGUGUCCUUAUUAAUUCUCCUUGACCUCUCAGCAGCUUUCGACACCAUCGACCAUGGUAUCCUUCUGGAGCUGCUGUAUGAGUUAGGGGUGGGUGGCACCACUUUGUGGUAGUUCUGGUCCUACUUGGAUGGUAAUUUCCAGAGGCUUGAGGAGUGUUCUGCAGCCCUGUGGAGGCUUCAAUGUGGGGUUCCUCAGGCUUCGAUUUUAUCCCUUAUUCUGUUUAACAUCUACAUAAAUCCACUGAGUGGGAGGUUAAGGGGUGAUAUGAUAGCCAUGUUCAAAUAUAUAAAAGGAUGUCAUAUAGAGGAGGGAGAAAGGUUGUUUUCUGCUGCUCCAGAGAAGCGGACACGGAGCAAUGGAUCCAAACUACAAGAAAGAAGAUUCCACCUAAACAUUAGGAAGAACUUCCUGACAGUAAGAGCUGUUCGACAGUGGAAUUUGCUGCCAAGGAGUGUGGUGGAGUCUCCUUCUUUGGAGGUCUUUAAGCAGAGGCUUGACAACCAUAUGUCAGGAGUGCUCUGAUGGUGUUUCCUGCUUGGCAGGGGGUUGGACUCGAUGGCCCUUGUGGUCUCUUCCAACUCUAUGAUUCUAUGAUUCUAUGAUUAUCUGACAGUUUGAAGUAUGUUGCCAGCAAUAUGCUGAUGACACACAGAUCUAUUUCUCCUUUACAUCUGCAGGUGUAGCAGCUGAUGUGCUGGACCACAUUCUUGCCUUGGUAAUGGACACGAUGAGAGCCAACAAACUGAACCUUAAUCCAGAUAAUACAGAGGCACUGUUAGGGGGUGUUUCCCUAGAAUGGAUGGGUGGGAGGUUGCCUCCUCUUGGUGGGGUUACACUCCCUCUGAAGGAGCAGGUACACUGUUUGGGGGUACUUCUGAAACCAUUACUGUCACUUGAGGCUCAGGUGGCCUCAGUGGCCUAGAGUGCCUUCCAUCAGCUUCUGCUGGUGGCCCAUCUGUGCCCCUAUCUGGACAGGGAUAGCCUAACUUCUGUUGUCUAUGCUCUGGUAAUGGUUAUAUUACUGCAACACAUUAUACAAGACAGUUUGAGCAUAUAACACCAAUUCUGGCCCAACUGCAUUGGCUGCCAAUUAGUUUCUGGGCCCAAUUUAAAGUACCUCCUUUUGAAACAACCUGGACCCUGUGAUCAUCAUCUGAGACCAUUUUUUGUGUGCUUUCUCCACAAAAGGCCUGGAAGGUGGCAACACAAGAAAAGGCCUUUUCUGCAAGUGGUUCCCCAUUUCUGGAAUGCUCUCCCCAGAGAAGCUCACCUGGUGCCUUUGUUACACCUCUUUAGAUGCCAAGUGAAAACAUUCCUCUCCCCCCAGGCCUUUGGCUAAUUAAACAAUCUGUGUCAUUUUAAACUGUAGGGAGGUGUUGCUUUUUGUUUGUUAUUAUGCUAUAUCUUUUUGUGCUUUUAUUUUGUAAACCGCC